UACGGGGGGGGGCAAGCGUUGUUCGGAAUUACUGGGCGUAAAGGGCUCGUAGGCGGCCAACUAAGUCAGACGUGAAACCCUCGGCUUAACCGGGGAACUGCGUCUGAUACUGGAUGGCUUGAGAUUGGGAGAGGGAUGCGGAAUUCCAGGUGUAGCGGUGAAAUGCGUAGAUACUCGGAGGAACACCGGUGGCGAAGGCGGCAUCCUGGACCAACACUGACGCUGGAUGAGGCGAAAGCCAGGG
rnacentral:rRNA from 1 species